rnacentral:rRNA from 1 species
GAUGAACGCUGGCGGCGUGCCUAAUACAUGCAAGUCGAGCGAACAGACGAGGAGCUUGCUUCUCUGACGUUAGCGGCGGACGGGUGAGUAACACGUGGAUAACCGACCUAUAAGACUGGGAUAACGUCGGGAAACCGGAGCUAAUACCGGAUAAUAUAUUGAACCGCAUGGUUCAAUAGUGAAAGACGGUUUUGCUGUCACUUAUACAUGGAUCCGCGCCGCAUUGGCUAGUUGGUAAGGUAACGGCUUACCAAGGCAACGAUGAGUAACCGACCUGAGAGGGUGAUCGGCCACACUGGAACUGAGACACGGUCCAGACUCCUACGGGAGGCAGCAGUAGGGAAUCUUCCGCAAUGGGCGAAAGCCUGACGCAGCCACGCCGCGUGAGUGAUGAAGGUCUUCGGAUCGUAAAACUCUGUUAUUAGGGAAGAACAAAUGUGUAAGAACAUCUGCCCGUCUUGACGGUACCUAAACAGAAAGCCACGGCUAACUACGUG